rnacentral:rRNA from 1 species
GUGAGCGGGAAAGCUCAAUUUAAAAUCUGACGGUCUUUAUGGCCUUCCGAGUUGUAAUCUAGAGAAGUGCUAUCCGCGCUGGACCGUGUACAAGUCUCCUGGAACGGAGCGUCAUAGAGGGUGAGAAUCCCGUCUUUGCCACGGACUACCAGGGCUUAUGUGAUGCGCUCUCAAAGAGUCGAGUUGUUUGGGAAUGCAGCUCUAAAUGGGUGGUAAAUUCCAUCUAAAGCUAAAUAUUGGCGAGAGACCGAUAGCGAACAAGUACCGUGAGGGAAAGAUGAAAAGAACUUUGGAAAGAGAGUUAAACAGUACGUGAAAUUGUUGAAAGGGAAACGCUUGAAGUCAGUCGCGUUGACCAGGAAUCAGCCUUGCUUUUGCUUGGCGCACUUUCUGGUUAAUGGGUCAGCAUCAAUUUUGGUCGGUGGAUAAAGGUCAGGAGAAGGUGGCAUCUUCGGAUGUGUUUAUAGCUCUUGGUUGCAUACAUCGAUUGGGAUUGAGGAACUCAGCACGCCGCAAGGCCGGGUGUUUACACCACGUUACGUGCUUAGGAUGUUGGCAUAAUGGCUUUAAUCGACCCGUCUG